CUUGGUCAUUUAGAGGAAGUAAAAGUCGUAACAAGGUCUCCGUUGGUGAACCAGCGGAGGGAUCAUUACCGAGUUUACAACUCCCAAACCCCUGUGAACAUACCACUUGUUGCCUCGGCGGAUCAGCCCGCUCCCGGUAAAACGGGACGGCCCGCCAGAGGACCCCUAAACUCUGUUUCUAUAUGUAACUUCUGAGUAAAACCAUAAAUAAAUCAAAACUUUCAACAACGGAUCUCUUGGUUCUGGCAUCGAUGAAGAACGCAGCAAAAUGCGUUAGGUAAUGUGAAUUGCAGAAUUCAGUGAAUCAUCGAAUCUUUGAACGCACAUUGCGCCCGCCAGUAUUCUGGCGGGCAUGCCUGUUCGAGCGUCAUUUCAACCCUCAAGCACAGCUUGGUGUUGGGACUCGCGUUAAUUCGCGUUCCUCAAAUUGAUUGGCGGUCACGUCGAGCUUCCAUAGCGUAGUAGUAAAACCCUCGUUACUGGUAAUCGUCGCGGCCACGCCGUUAAACCCCAACUUCUGAAUGUUGACCUCGGAUCAGGUAGGAAUACCCGCUGAACUUAAGCAUAUCAAUAAGCGGAGGA
rnacentral:rRNA from 1 species